AGUACACGAAUUAAAAAGGUUCCCCGUUGAGCACAUUAUCUCCCGCUAGAGGCGCCGUAGUAAGCGCAAUUUUAACCUACAAACUUUCUUCAACAGUAAACGAAGCGUUUUUAUUGCAUGAUAAAUAUUACAAAAUUAUAAUUCCUAAUUUUACAUUGUACUUUUCAUUACCAACUUUGUUGUUUUUUGUCAUUUUAAACGCAAAAUAGCGUUCAGCAUCAUCGACCUCCCACGUGACCUCUGGCCUGAAUUUAAAAUUUUUACCGGUAUGUUCGCGUGCGCGGCAGGUACGGAUUCCUUGGUUCGUACAUUGGUUGGUUAUUUUGUGCUAACACCAGUUUACUGCGCUUCGAUGUCUCGCGUUAUUUAAUUUGAGGUGUAAGCCUGAAAGCUAGGUUUCAGUCGUGAGCCAUGUGGAACACGUCUGCAUCGAAAUGGGAGCCGGGUCCUGCUGCAACUGGGGACAGCAAUACCGACAUGCAGUAAUGAGGAUGGCACCAGUAUAAAGCAACACACUCCAUGCACUAAACAGAAGCUGCUGCCUGCUACAACAAGGUCAUUGUGUGGACUUUGGCUGCUACUACAAGAGUCUGUGCCAAGUACAUCUUGGUCAUCACGGGAGCCCCCAUCUACACCAACAGGAAGGGGCUGGAGCUGAAUUCGCAAGACCACAAACAAAGAAGCCAUUCCAGAAUUAUUUGGAUGAGAUAUCAAGUCUACGGAUGACUGUUUCAAGAGUGAAAAGAGCCUACGCCAUCAUUCCACCAGCACGGAUAUUGGCCGAGUCAUCCAGGUACCUCAACAACCAAAAUUAUUUGUCUUCAGAUGUACCUGCAACCUCUGAAUAAGCACAGAUGACGCUGGCUAAGAGUGUUCUGUCAGCUUGCCCUUCCUUAGUGAGCUUCCUGGCCUUGCCAGUUCUUGCCAAGUAUAAUUUUGUUUCAAUGAAUGCAAGCUUUUUCAUUCCACACUUUUGUUAGAGAUCAUUCCUAUUCCUCAUAAAAACAAUAAAGGUCAACCGAUUCUUUGCUCAUACUUAAUGCCAGUCACUGUCUAGUAGCAUAACAUAUGUGUAGCAGUUCUUUCUAGUGUAUGUUGCCAUGUGCAAUUCCUCUCCUGAAAUAGCUGAUGCAGCAUUGGCGUGUGUCUUGCAUUAACCUUUACACUGUGUGCUAUGUAGCAUUUAACUUUUGUUAAUGUUUUUGGCUUUCAAUGCUUGCAAGGUAGAGUGGCUUCUUUCUUGAAUGCAAGCUUUCUCGUUCCCAUAUUGAAUUCCUAGUCUCAUUCAGGAUUGCUAUUCUUGCUCGACAGCCUGUGUUUUUGUGAAAGCUACAUUGAAGUGAUUGAUUGCAGAAUCUGGUUUCGGCGCUGUCCGACUUGGUACUUGUCACCGUGUUACAUUUCUCAUAUGUGGGAGCCUGGUCAGUUGCAUUGGGAAACAGUCUCUCGAGGCAAGCACCUGCUCCUACAGUCCGCACAGUGACAUAGACUGCGAAUUUACACGCACACCGUGGUUGGUGCUCCCUGUUCUGUCCUUUCCUGCUGCUGCCGUGUGCAAAUUUUGCUUGUGGUCUUCCUCGGCCAUGAUUUGGCGUCAACGGAGACUCUCAUACAUAAUUACAUGGUUCUAAGUGUAUGAAGUUGAUAUCCACAUCUGUGGAAAGGCCUGCAAAAGUGACUGCAACAUAGUGAUGUUCACAAAACCAACCAUGCCCAUAUAUAGAGAAUGUGGGGGACCAAGUGUGAGUUACACAUUAGUGGCAUGCAAAAGAACAAAAAGAAACAUGCAGGUUGGAAAGGCGGUAACGCUAAAAUGCCGGGCACUCCAUGUCGCUGUUGGCUGUGGCAGCAGAUGCUUGCGUCACCCGAUUGCUUCGCAAUGCAAGCUGCUCAUAUUCAACGCCGACUGUCGGUGCAAACAUGUGGGACACACUGUCCAAUCUGCUUGCGCUGCUGGUUGUUGCUUGUUACCAGACUGCAGUGUGCGACGAAGGCAAGCACUAUGCCUACAGUCGGACGGUUGAAUGUGCCGCAAGCAACCCGUGUGCGUGUAUGCUCACUGUUGUCAUGUAGAUCGUAGCCAAUGCAUAGUGCCAAUGUAUAGAUUGAGCAUUAUGUUAGAGUAUGCUGAAGUGAUUUGAUUGCAUAAUCUUGUUUCAAUGUUGUCCCACUUGGUCAUGGUUGCCGUGUUACAUUUCUGGGAUGUGGCAGCCUGUUCAGUUGUAUUGGCCAAUGGCCUCUCGAGGUAAGCACCUGCUCCUGCAGUCCACACAGUGACACAAACUCCCUGUUUACAUGUAGUGUGAUUGGUGCUCCCUGUUUGUCCUUUCCUGCUGCAGCCGUGGGUAAAGCAUGCUUGUGGCCUUCUUUGGCCAUGAUUUGGCGUGAACAGAGACUAUCAUACAUGAUUACAUGGUUUGAAGUGUAUAAGUUGAUAUCCACAUGGGUGGAAAGGCCUGUAAAAGUGGCUGCGAAAUGGCGAUUCCCACAAAACAGACCACAUCCAUAUUGAGAGCAGGUGGGGCACCAAGUGUGAGCAACACAUUAGUGGCCACCGAAAGAACAAAAUGAAACGUGCAUGUAGGAAAGGAGGUAACACUAGUAUGCCGGGUAGUUCAUGUCGCUGUGUUGGCUAUGGCAGCAGGUGCCUGCGUCACCCGAUUGAUUCGCAGUACAAGUUACGGUGACUGUCAGUGUAAACAGGUGGGGCACUGUCCA